UGGGGAAUUUUGGACAAUGGGGGAAACCCUGAUCCAGCCAUCCCGCGUGUGCGAUGAAGGCCUUCGGGUUGUAAAGCACUUUUGGCAGGAAAGAAACGUCAUGGGUUAAUACCCCGUGAAACUGACGGUACCUGCAGAAUAAGCACCGGCUAACUACGUGCCAGCAGCCGCGGUAAUACGUAGGGUGCAAGCGUUAAUCGGAAUUACUGGGCGUAAAGCGUGCGCAGGCGGUUCGGAAAGAAAGAUGUGAAAUCCCAGAGCUCAACUUUGGAACUGCAUUUUUAACUACCGGGCUAGAGUGUGUCAGAGGGAGGUGGAAUUCCGCGUGUAGCAGUGAAAUGCGUAGAUAUGCGGAGGAACACCGAUGGCGAAGGCAGCCUCCUGGGAUAACACUGACGAUCAUGCACGAAAGCGUGGGGAGCAAACGGG
rnacentral:rRNA from 1 species